rnacentral:rRNA from 1 species
GAUGAACGCUGGCGGCGUGCCUAGUACAUGCAAGUCGAGCGAACAGACGAGGAGCUUGCUCCUCUGACGUUAGCGGCGGACGGGUGAGUAACACGUGGAUAACCUACCUAUAAAACUGGGAUAACUUCGGGAAACCGGAGCUAAUACCGGAUAAUAUAUUGAACCGCAUGGUUCAAUAGUGAAAGACGGUUUUGCUGUCACUUAUAGAUGGAUCCGCGCCGCAUUAGCUAGUUGGUAAGGUAACGGCUUACCAAGGCGACGAUGCGUAGCCGACCUGAGAGGGUGAUCGGCCACACUGGAACUGAGACACGGUCCAGACUCCUACGGGAGGCAGCAGUAGGGAAUCUUCCGCAGUGGGCGAAAGCCUGACGGAGCAACGCCGCGUGAGUGAUGAAGGUCUUCGGAUCGUAAAACUCUGUUAUUAGGGAAGAACAAAUGUGUAAGUAACUAUGCACGUCUUGACGGUACCUAAUCAGAAAGCCACGGCUAACUACGU